rnacentral:rRNA from 1 species
GACGAACGCUGGCGGCGUGCCUAAUACAUGCAAGUAGAACGCACAGUUUAUACCGUAGCUUGCUACACCAUAGACUGUGAGUUGCGAACGGGUGAGUAACGCGUAGGUAACCUGCCUGGUAGCGGGGGAUAACUAUUGGAAACGAUAGCUAAUACCGCAUAAUAUUAAUUAUUGCAUGAUAAUUAAUUGAAAGGUGCAAUUGCACCACUACCAGAUGGACCUGCGUUGUAUUAGCUAGUAGGUGAGGUAACGGCUCACCUAGGCGACGAUACAUAGCCGACCUGAGAGGGUGAUCGGCCACACUGGGACUGAGACACGGCCCAGACUCCUACGGGAGGCAGCAGUAGGGAAUCUUCGGCAAUGGACGAAAGUCUGACCGAGCAACGCCGCGUGAGUGAAGGAGGUUGUCGGAUCGUAGAGCUCUGUUGUAAGGGAAGAACGGGUGUGAGAGUGGAAAGUUCACACUGUGACGGUAUCUUACCAGAAAGGGACGGCUAACUACGUG